rnacentral:rRNA from 1 species
ACGGAAGGCAGCAGUGAGGAAUAUUGGUCAAUGGGCGGAAGCCUGGACCAGCCAAGUCGCGUGAAGGAAGAAGGUAUUAUGUAUUGUAAACUUCUUUAGCAGCAGAGAAAUAAGGUGGACGUGUCCACUGAUGCUAGUAUGCUGAGAAUAAGCAUCGGCUAACUCCGUGCCAGCAGCCGCGGUAAUACGGAGGAUGCGAGCGUUAUCCGGAUUUAUUGGGUUUAAAGGGUGCGCAGGCGGUCUUUUAAGUCAGUGGUCAAAUCGUGGUGCUCAACGCCAUCCUGCCAUUGAUACUGGGAGACUUGAUUGCGGUUGAGGUAGGCGGAAUUCGUCGUGUAGCGGUGAAAUGCAUAGAUAUGACGAAGAACACCGAUUGCGUAGGCAGCUUACCAAGCCGUAAAUGACGCUCAUGCACGAAAGUGCGGGGAUCGAACAGGAUUAGAUACCCUGGUA